rnacentral:lncRNA from 1 species
GCUGGAGUGCAGGGGUGCCAUCUCAGCUCACUGCAACCUUCAACCUUCACCUCCUGGGCUCAAGCAAUCCUCCCACCUCAGUCUCCCAAGUAGCUGGGACUACAGGCACAUGCCACCACACCAAGCUAAUUUUUUUAUUUUUAGUGGAGACAAGGUUUCACCAUUUUGGCCAGGCUGGUCUCGAACUCCAACCUCAGGCUCCUGGAUGGAUCUCUCAUGUCUCUCCCUCCUUCGGGUUCCAGACUCCUGGAGAGCUUUCUCAGCAGCACCCCAUACCUUCCCUGCCAUGGUGCCUGCUAGCAGCCAGGUUGGAAGCUUCAGCCACACCAACAAGGUACAACCUGCAUCACAUCAUCAGCCUGGCCCCCCGGGUUGGUUUGUUUUUCCAGGGCAUAAAUGUAUUUUAUGGAGAAAUAAAAUGCACAAUAAUAAAAAGGGGGAGGGGAGUGUUUCCACAGGCCCACAUUUUAUCCAAAGGGGCUGUGAUUUGGCAUCCCUGGCUCGAAUAUGAAAUUAUUACACAAGAAUUGACUCUCGGUGUCUCCGAUGCUCCCUGGGAUGAUUGCUUCUAUAACUUAUGGAGACAGCUGAGCGUUUGUAUUCAAGUGAUCACAUAAAUUAAUAUCCAUAUGUGGAAAUGGUGUGCUGGGAGCUGGCCUGGUUUAAGAAUGCAUUCCUUGUAAUGAUCCUUGCACCUGAAGAAAAAUGCCCAUCCAGGGGCCCCGAGCGUAGGUCUGGAAUACUCUCGUCAUGGCUCAGAAGGUUUGAAGUAAAAUAAGGCAUGCAAAAUGUUACCCCUUUAAAGUUGUGAAGAACUGGGUGCUGUUUUCGGCCAUGAUGUCAUCAGAGGGAAUGAAGGGAACUGC